UCAAACUACUAAGAGAGUAAGAUGGAUACCUUGGUACUAGGAGGCGAAGAAGGACGUGGUAGGCUGCGAUAAGCCUCGGGGAGCCGUCAAACAGGCUUUGAUCCGGGGAUUUCCGAAUGGAGCAAUCCGGUACGGGUAAUGCCGUACUACUUACAUCUGAAUCCAUAGGAUGUAAGGGCAAACCAGGAGAAUUGAAACAUCUUAGUAUCCUGAGGAAAAGAAAGAAAUCUCGAUUCCCCCAGUAGCGGCGAGCGAAAAGGGAAGAGCCUAAACUGAAUAGGUGUCCAAGCCUGUAGGCGUUGCCUAUUCAGGGUUGUAGGUCUGAUGGUGCCAAUAUCUGCAGUGAGGCAGAGGGGAUUUAUCUUCUAGAGGAAUAACACUGGAAAGGCUAGCCAAAGAAGGUAAUAGCCCUGUACUCGAAAGAGGAUGAAUUUCAUCUACAUCAGACCUGAGUACCAUCGGACACGAGGAAUCCGGUGGGAAUCUGGGAGGAUCACCUCCUAAGGCUAAAUACUACCUAGUGACCGAUAGUGAACAAGUACCGUGAGGGAAAGGUGAAAAGAACCCCGGGAGGGGAGUGAAAUAGAACUUGAAAUCUUACUCUUACAAGCAGUGGGAGCACUUCGGUGUGACCACGUACCUUUUGCAUAAUGGGCCGGUGAGUUACUUGAAGUAGCAAGGUUAAGGAAGAAAGACUUCCGGAGCCGUAGCGAAAGCGAGUCCUAAUAGGGCACCAAGUUGCUUUAAGUAGACCCGAAACCAGGUGAUCUACCCAAGGCCAGGGUGAAGUACAUUUAACCGUGUACGGAAGCCCGAACGCACUGACGAUGAAAAGUCAGGCGAUGAGCUCUGGGUAGGAGUGAAAGGCUAAUCAAACCUGGCGAUAGCUGGUUCUCCCCGAAAUAGCUUUAGGGCUAGCCUUGUGUUUGGAUAGCGGGGGUAGAGCACUGAAUGAUAAAGAGGCCUUCGGGCUUCUUUAGUCAAUCAAACUCCGAAUACCGCUAUAUUUUAAGCACAGGAGUCAGACUGUGGGGGAUAAGCUUCAUGGUCAAGAGGGAAAGAGCCCAGACCGUCGGUUAAGGUCUCUAAUGCAGGCUAAGUGGGAAAGGACGUGAGAUUACUUAGAUAGCCAGGAGGUUGGCUUAGAGGCAGCCAUCCUUUAAAGAGUGCGUAAAAGCUCACUGGGUUAGCGAUCUUGCUCCGAAAAUUCAACGAGGCUCAAGUCUGCUACCGAAACCACGGGAGCAAAGUUUUUGCAGAUGGUGAGUGGCUGUUGGUUUUACCAACAGCUAUCCAUUAAUAGCUGCAAAGUAGAGCUUUGCUCGGUAGGGGAGCAUUCUACAUUAGGUUGAAGGGGAACCGAAAGGUACCUGGACGAGGUAGAAGAGAUGAUGCCGGCAUAAGUAACGAGACAAGGAAGAGUAAACCUUGCGCCGAAAGCCUAAGGUUUCCUGGGGAAGGUUAAUCCGCCCAGGGUAAGUCGGUCCUAAGCCGAGGCAUUUUUGCGUAGGCGAUGGGUAGCCGGGUAGAAAAUUCCGGCACCACCUGAAUAAUGCUAAGUGAAGGGGUGACAUGGAGAGGUAGGCCUGCGUGGGAUUGAUUGUCCACGUCCAAGCAGUUGAGGAGAUCGCUCAGGCAAAUCCGAGCGAUUAGCUAAUCCCAAGCUGUGAUGGGGACCUCUUUUUUGUGAGGGAAGUGGUUGAUCCUUUCCAUCAAGAAAAGCCUCUAAGCGAUAUAUUUAGGUGUCCGUACCGCAAACUGACACAGGUAGGCUGGCUGAGUAUGCUAAGGCGCUCGAGUGAACCCUCGUUAAGGAACUCGGCAAAUUAGCCCCGUAACUUCGGGAGAAGGGGUGCCCCAUUAGCGUUGUAUCAGGUUGCUUGCAAUCUGAGAAGCGCGAAGGGGUUGCAACAAAGAGGCCCAGGCGACUGUUUACUAAAAACACAGGUCUCUGCUAACUCGAAAGAGGAUGUAUAGGGACUGAAGUCUGAUCAGUGCUGGAAGGUUAAGGGGAGGACUGUAAGGUCUAAACCGAAGCCCCAGUGAACAUCGGCUCUAACUAUAAGAGUCCUAAGGUAGCGAAAUUCCUUGUCGGGUAAACAUUUUGCCCUUCUCGGCUUAUAACGGUGAAGCCCUAACGCUAGCAGUGAUCAAGGACACUGCGUUAGAGGCGAGGGUAAUACCGUGGGAAGCCUUGAUGGCCCUGUAACGACUGAUGGCUAAAAGCCUGAGAUAGAGGUUAAUUAAGCCUCUAUCAUACGCCGAGGAUCUCACUUA
rnacentral:rRNA from 1 species